ensembl:ncRNA W05E10.9 ncRNA
UUAACACAAUCUACAUAAUCGCAAGAAUAGGCGAAUCUGAGAAAGAUGCAUGUGAAGAGCUUAUGUGUUAGUAGCGGCACGGACCCUCUUAAAAUCAUAUUUACAUAUGAUUUGGAGUGGGAAAAUAUAGAAAAGAGACACAAGAAAGUAGAGGAGGAUGUAUAGUGAUGAUUAUGAUGAUGA